rnacentral:rRNA from 1 species
UGAGUAACGCGUGGGAACGUACCCUUCACUACGGAAUAGCUUCUGGAAACGGAAGGUAAUACCGUAUACGCCCUCCGGGGGAAAGAUUUAUCGGUGAAGGAUCGGCCCGCGUUAGAUUAGUUUGUUGGUGGGGUAAUGGCCUACCAAGACUACGAUCUAUAGCUGGUCUGAGAGGAUGAUCAGCCACACUGGGACUGAGACACGGCCCAGACUCCUACGGGAGGCAGCAGUGGGGAAUCUUGCACAAUGGGCGAAAGCCUGAUGCAGCCAUGCCGCGUGAAUGAUGAAGGCCUUAGGGUUGUAAAAUUCUUUCGCCAGGGAUGAUAAUGACAGUACCUGGUAAAGAAGCCCCGGCUAACUUCGUGCCAGCAGCCGCGGUAAUACGAAGGGGGCUAGCGUUGUUCGGAAUUACUGGGCGUAAAGCGCGCGUAGGCGGGCUAUUAAGCCAGAUGUGAAAGCCCGGAGCUCAACUCCGGAAUUGCAUUUGGAACUGGUAGCCUAGAGACCAGGAGAGGUUAGCGGAAUACCGAGUGUAGAGGUGAAAUUCGUAGAUAUUCGGUGGAACACCAGUGGCGAAGGCGGCUAACUGGACUGGUACUGACGCUGAGGCGCGAAAGUGUGGGGAGCAAACAGGAUUAGAUACCCUGGUAGUCCACACCGU